rnacentral:rRNA from 1 species
ACCGAAGCUGCGGCAGCGACACUGUGUGUUGUUGGGUAGGGGAGCGUUCUGUAAGCCUGUGAAGGUGUGUCGUGAGGCAUGCUGGAGGUAUCAGAAGUGCGAAUGCUGACAUAAGUAACGAUAAAGCGGGUGAAAAGCCCGCUCGCCGGAAGACCAAGGGUUCCUGUCCAACGUUAAUCGGGGCAGGGUGAGUCGACCCCUAAGGCGAGGCCGAAAGGCGUAGUCGAUGGGAAACGGGUUAAUAUUCCCGUACUUGGUGUUACUGCGAAGGGGGGACGGAGAAGGCUAUGUUGGCCGGGCGACGGUUGUCCCGGUUUAAGCGUGUAGGUGUGUGUUCCAGGUAAAUCCGGUUCACUUUAACACUGAGGCGUGACGACGAGGCACUACGGUGCUGAAGCAACAAAUGCCCUGCUUCCAGGAAAAGCCUCUAAGCAUCAGGUAACAUCAAAUCGUACCCCAAACCGACACAGGUGGUCAGGUAGAGAAUACCAAGGCGCUUGAGAGAACUCGGGUGAAGGAACUAGGCAAAAUGGUGCCGUAACUUCGGGAGAAGGCACGCUGACACGUAGGUGAAGUGAUUUACUCAUGGAGCUGAAGUCAGUCGAAGAUACCAGCUGGCUGCAACUGUUUAUUAAAAACACAGCACUGUGCAAACACGAAAGUGGACGUAUACGGUGUGACGCCUGCCCGGUGCCGGAAGGUUAAUUGAUGGGGUCAGCGCAAGCGAAGCUCCUGAUCGAAGCCCCGGUAAACGGCGGCCGUAACUAUAACGGUCCUAAGGUAGCGAAAUUCCUUGUCGGGUAAGUUCCGACCUGCACGAAUGGCGUAAUGAUGGCCAGGCUGUCUCCACCCGAGACUCAGUGAAAUUGAACUCGCUGUGAAGAUGCAGUGUACCCGCGGCAAGACGGAAAGACCCCGUGAACCUUUACUAUAGCUUGACACUGAACAUUGAGCCUUGAUGUGUAGGAUAGGUGGGAGGCUUUGAAGUGUGGACGCCAGUCUGCAUGGAGCCGACCUUGAAAUACCACCCUUUAAUGUUUGAUGUUCUAACGUGGACCCGUUACCCGGGUUGCGGACAGUGUCUGGUGGGUAGUUUGACUGGGGCGGUCUCCUCCUAAAGAGUAACGGAGGAGCACGAAGGUUGGCUAAUCCUGGUCGGACAUCAGGAGGUUAGUGCAAUGGCAUAAGCCAGCUUGACUGCGAGCGUGACGGCGCGAGCAGGUGCGAAAGCAGGUCAUAGUGAUCCGGUGGUUCUGAAUGGAAGGGCCAUCGCUCAACGGAUAAAAGGUACUCCGGGGAUAACAGGCUGAUACCGCCCAAGAGUUCAUAUCGACGGCGGUGUUUGGCACCUCGAUGUCGGCUCAUCACAUCCUGGGGCUGAAGUAGGUCCCAAGGGUAUGGCUGUUCGCCAUUUAAAGUGGUACGCGAGCUGGGUUUAGAACGUCGUGAGACAGUUCGGUCCCUAUCUGCCGUGGGCGCUGGAGAACUGAGGGGGGCUGCUCCUAGUACGAGAGGACCGGAGUGGACGCAUCACUGGUGUUCGGGUUGUCAUGCCAAUGGCACUGCCCGGUAGCUAAAUGCGGAAGAGAUAAGUGCUGAAAGCAUCUAAGCACGAAACUUGCCCCGAGAUGAGUUCUCCCUGAGACUUAGAGUCUCCUGAAGGAACGUUGAAGACGACGACGUUGAUAGGCCGGGUGUGUAAGCGCAGCGAUGCGUUGAGCUAACCGGUACUAAUGAACCGUGAGGCUUAACCUUAC